CAGCCGCACCAGUUCAGUGCAGCACGGCAGCUGGAACUCGACUGGGAAUGAUGGCAGCACACGAACUGUUCACACGGAAGUUCCCCACUCCUGCUGCAAACGCAGCGCUCUUCUGAUGACGUCACAACACGCGCUUCAAGCUCUAUUCCAUUGCCAUGGCAACAUCUACCUCACAGUUCAGCUGGUUGCAAUCUGGGACCUACCAGAAAUAAAACUGCUUGUCAGUUUAUGCUACAAGGGGGUAAAAAAUUUCUCAUGGCAUCUAGAUUACCCAGUGGCAUUAUCCAGAAGCUGUUAACCUCAGGACUGCUACCUGGAUGGGAGGGCUGGCAGGCAAUGCUGCAUUCAAUUCAAGAAUACAAAGGCUGCAUUCUUGAAGACCUGGGACAACUGCUGCAUUUUGAGGUGGCAGAGUGGACAUGCACCUGUUCUAGAAAGCCUGAAGAGCUGGUGACCUGUUUGGCUAUCUGUGCCCUGCGUCACACAGCCACAGCCGUGAAUGAGAACCUGGAGGAGCACACACUUUUGGAUAUUAUCCCAUGAUCUCCAAUACUGGACAACACAAAGACACCUGAGAUAUCCAAAGAUACAUCUUUAUCCCACAUCCCACCACGGUGCGCAUUAGCACCUUCCUAGUGCUGAUUCCAGUCCAGGUCAGUGUAUUAACUUUUUAUGCCUCUGUAGGGAUGCGUAUGUGACUAGAGACAGGACUACGGGAAUCAGCUCAGUGCUGCAGACUAGUGAUGAGAUCGCUUCUCUGGGUGUGAAGACGAGUCUCUCAAGGACAUGAGCUGUAGGAAACGUAGGCCAGCGGGCAAUUCCCUGUGCCAGAACAGCCCUCCCAGUGCGCAUGGGCACACAUCAAUGUCUGGCUCAACCCUGGUGCUCAGCGACCUGGGCACGUGGCACAUUUUGAUAACACAGCCUUUUGAUAAUAAAUAAACUAGUAAUUUCAAA